rnacentral:sRNA from 1 species
CAUUAUUGAAUUAAUAAAAGUGGGCUUUGAAUUGGAGGCUGAUGCUGAUGGUCAAACAUAUGUGCUCGCCGUCAUGAAGAGUUCGCUUUUUAUUAACCUUUCCACCUGUGCACUUUUGUAGAUGUUGAAGGUCAUCCUUCAAGCAGCAAUGCUUGGUUUGGAGUUUGCGGGCUUCAUUCAGUUGAAGUCGGCUCUCUCUGUCGAUCUUCAAUGUCUAUUUUACAUAUACCCUUGAUAAAAGUUAAAGAAGGACAUGAUUGGGCUUUAUGCCUAUAAAUCUAUAAUACAACUUUCAGCAACGGAUCUCUUGGCUCUCGCAUCGAUGAAGAACGCAGCGAAUUGCGAUAAGUAAUGUGAAUUGCAGAAUUCAGUGAAUCAUCGAAUCUUUGAACGCACCUUGCGCUCUUUGGUAUUCCGAAGAGCAUGCCUGUUUGAGUGUCAUUAAAUUCUCAACCCACUUCAUUUGUUUAUCAAGUAAAGUGCGUGUUGGAUGUGGGGGUUGCGGGCUUCAUUCAGUUGAAGUCGGCUCCUCUGAAAUGCAUUAGCGGGAAUCUUUGUUGGACCGCUUCUAUUGGGUGUGAUAAUUAUCUACGCCUAGGAAGUAGUUCAGCACUUGGGUUUGGCAACAAACCGGGGUUCUGCUUCUAAUGGUCCAUUUACUUGGACAAUACUCUUUGACAUUUGACCUCAAAUCAGGUAGGACUACCC